CUGGGCGUAAGGAUGCGUAGGCGGAUUUUUAAGUGAGAUGUGAAAUUCCCGGGCUUAACUUGGGAGCUGCAUUUCAAACUGGAAGUCUAGAGUGCGGGAGAGGAAAGUGGAAUUCCUAGUGUAGCGGUGAAAUGCGUAGAGAUUAGGAAGAACACCAGUGGCGAAGGCGACUUUCUGGACCGUAACUGACGCUGAGGCAUGAAAGCGUGGGUAGCAAACAGGAUUAGAUACCCUGGUAGUCCACGCCGUAAACGAUGAGUACUAGGUGUAGGAGGUAUCGACCCCUUCUGUGCCGCAGUUAACACAAUAAGUACUCCGCCUGGGAAGUACGAUCGCAAGAUUAAAACUCAAAGGAAUUGACGGGGGCCCGCACAAGCAGCGGAGCAUGUGGUUUAAUUCGAAGCAACGCGAAGAACCUUACCUAGACUUGACAUCUCCUGAAUUACUCGUAAUGGAGGAAGCCCUUCGGGGCAGGAAGACAGGUGGUGCAUGGUUGUCGUCAGCUCGUGUCGUGAGAUGUUAGGUUAAGUCCUGCAACGAGCGCAACCCUUAUCAUUAGUUGCUACCAUUAAGUUGAGCACUCUAGUGAGACUGCCGUGGUUAACGCGGAGGAAGGUGGGGAUGACGU
rnacentral:rRNA from 1 species